UACGUAGGGUGCAAGCGUUGUUCGGAAUUACUGGGCGUAAAGGGCUCGUAGGUGGCCAACUAAGUCAUACGUGAAAUCCCUCGGCUUAACCGGGGAACUGCGUCUGAUACUGGAUGGCUUGAGGUUGGGAGAGGGAUGCGGAAUUCCAGGUGUAGCGGUGAAAUGCGUAGAUAUCUGGAGGAACACCGGUGGCGAAGGCGGCAUCCUGGACCAAUUCUGACACUGAGGAGCGAAAGCCAGGGGAGCAAACGGG
rnacentral:rRNA from 1 species